rnacentral:rRNA from 1 species
AGUGAACGCUGGCGGUAGGCCUAACACAUGCAAGUCGAACGGCAGCACAGUAAGAGCUUGCUCUUACGGGUGGCGAGUGGCGGACGGGUGAGGAAUACAUCGGAAUCUACUUUUUCGUGGGGGAUAACGUAGGGAAACUUACGCUAAUACCGCAUACGACCUACGGGUGAAAGCAGGGGAUCUUCGGACCUUGCGCGAUUGAAUGAGCCGAUGUCGGAUUAGCUAGUUGGUGGGGUAAAGGCCCACCAAGGCGACGAUCCGUAGCUGGUCUGAGAGGAUGAUCAGCCACACUGGAACUGAGACAAGGUCCAGAGUCCUACGGGAGGCAGCAGUGGGGAAUAUUGGACAAUGGGCGCAAGCCUGAUCCAGCCAUACCGCGUGGGUGAAGAAGGCCUUCGGGUUGUAAAGCCCUUUUGUUGGGAAAGAAAAGCAGCAGGUUAAUACCCCGCUGUUCUGACGGUACCCAAAGAAUAAGCACCGGCUAACUUCGUG